rnacentral:rRNA from 1 species
AUUGAACGCUGGCGGCAUGCCUUACACAUGCAAGUCGAACGGUAACAGGUCUUCGGAUGCUGACGAGUGGCGAACGGGUGAGUAAUACAUCGGAACGUGCCUAGUAGUGGGGGAUAACUACUCGAAAGAGUGGCUAAUACCGCAUGAGAUCUACGGAUGAAAGCAGGGGAUCGCAAGACCUUGUGCUACUAGAGCGGCCGAUGGCAGAUUAGGUAGUUGGUGGGAUAAAAGCUUACCAAGCCGACGAUCUGUAGCUGGUCUGAGAGGACGAUCAGCCACACUGUGACUGAGACACGGCCCAGACUCCUACGGGAGGCAGCAGUGGGGAAUUUUGGACAAUGGGCGCAAGCCUGAUCCAGCAAUGCCGCGUGAAGGAUGAAGGCCUUCGGGUUGUAAACUGCUUUUGUACGGAACGAAAAGCCCCGGGUUAAUACCCUGGGGUCAUGACGGUACCGUAAGAAUAAGCACCGGCUAACUACGUGCCAGCCGCCGCUGUAA